UACGUAGGUGGCAAGCGUUGUCCGGAUUUACUAGGCGUAAAGAGCGCGCAGGCGGUCAGAUAAGUCGAAUGUGAAAGCCCCCGGCUCAACUGGGGAGGGUCAUUCGAUACUGUUCGACUCGAAGGCAGGAGAGGGAAGUGGAAUUCCUGGUGUAGCGGUGAAAUGCGCAGAUAUCAGGAGGAACACCGGUGGCGAAGGCGGGUCUCUGGGCCGAUAUUGACGCUGAGGAGCGAAAGCGUGGGGAGCGAACAGG
rnacentral:rRNA from 1 species